rnacentral:tRNA from 1 species
GGCUUGUGGCUAAGUGGUAGAGUGCUCACCUAGCACGUGUGAGGCACUGGGUUCGAUCCUCAACACCA